rnacentral:rRNA from 1 species
UGGGGAAUAUUGGACAAUGGGGGAAACCCUGAUCCAGCCAUGCCGCGUGAGUGAUGAAGGCCUUAGGGUUGUAAAGCUCUUUUACCAGGGAUGAUAAUGACAGUACCUGGAGAUUAAGCCCCGGCUAACUCCGUGCCAGCAGCCGCGGUAAUACGGAGGGGGCUAGCGUUGUUCGGAAUCACUGGGCGUAAAGCGCGCGUAGGCGGUAUUGUACGUUAGAGGUGAAAGCCCGGGGCUCAACUCCGGAAUUGCCUUUGAUACUGGUAGUCUUGAGUUCGAGAGAGGUGAGUGGAAUUCCGAGUGUAGAGGUGAAAUUCGUAGAUAUUCGGAGGAACACCAGUGGCGAAGGCGGCUCACUGGCUCGAUACUGACGCUGAGGUACGAAAGUGUGGGGAGCAAACAGGAUUAGAUACCCCGGUAG